rnacentral:rRNA from 1 species
GAUGAACGCUGGCGGCGUGCUUAACACAUGCAAGUCGAACGAAGCAUUUAAGACAGAUUACUUCGGUUUGAAGUCUUUUAUGACUGAGUGGCGGACGGGUGAGUAACGCGUGGGUAACCUGCCUCAUACAGGGGGGUAGCAACCGGGAAAGGCUGGGUAUUCCGCCUUAAGGGCACAGAACAACUUGGUCAGGUGGGAAAAACUCGGUGGUAUGAGAUGGACCCGCGUCUGGUUAGCUUGUUGGCGGGGUAACGGCCCACCAAGGCGACGAUCAGUAGCCGACCUGAGAGGGUGACCGGCCACAUUGGGACUGAGACACGGCCCAGACUCCUACGGGAGGCAGCAGUGGGGAAUAUUGCACAAUGGAGGAAACUCUGAUGCAGCGACGCCGCGUGAGUGAAGAAGUAGUUCGCUAUGUAAAGCUCUAUCAGCAGGGAAGAUAGUGACGGUACCUGACUAAGAAGCUCCGGCUAAAUACGUG